rnacentral:rRNA from 1 species
UCAGACGAUGCGUCAUGCAUAUCAAUAAGCGGAGGAAAAGAAACUAACAAGGAUUCCCUCAGUAACGGCGAGUGAAGCGGGAAGAGCUCAAAUUUGAAAUCUUGAAAGGUCACCUUUCACGAAUUGUAGUUUAAAGAAGUGUUUUCUGUUACGAUCGUAAUAUAAGUUCUUUGGAAUAGGACAUCACAGAGGGUGAGAAUCCCGUCUAUGAUUGCGAUUUGUAGCUUUGUGAUACACUUUCAAAGAGUCGGGUUGUUUGGGAAUGCAGCCCAAAACGGGAGGUAAAUUUCUUCUAAGGCUAAAUAUUGGCGAGAGACCGAUAGCGAACAAGUACCGUGAGGGAAAGAUGAAAAGAACUUUGAAAAGAGAGUUAAAUAGUACGUGAAAUUGUCAAAAGGGAAGCGUUUAACACCAGUGUUGUUUUCUGAAAAUCAACCUCUGUUAGCUUUAUGCAUGUUUGUUUAGACCUAAUCAGCUAUCUUGCAUGUUCUAUUGUUUGCAGUGGUGCACUUUUCAGUUUACAGGUCAACAUCAGUUUUUUUUACCGUAAAAAAGUUAAAGAAAGGUAGCUCAUGGCUCCGGUCGUGAGUGUUAUAGUCUUUUUCCUAUGCGGUAGGAGAGACUGAGGUCUGCAGUGUAGGCUAUUUGGCUAGAUACUCAGGUGCUAUGUGAUACCAUUUCAUAAACAACUUGUUGAUUAUGUUUUGUCUAUUGCAUACUCGCUUGUACUAUCAUACCUACGCUUAGGAUGUUGACUGAUAUGUAGUCGU